rnacentral:rRNA from 1 species
UCGAGGGGCAGCAUGGUCUUAGCUUGCUAAGGCUGAUGGCGACCGGCGCACGGGUGAGUAACACGUAUCCAACCUGCCGUCUACUCUUGGCCAGCCCUCUGAAAGGAAGAUUAAUCCAGGAUGGCAUCAUGAGUUCACAUGUCCGCAUGAUUAAAGGUAUUUUCCGGUAGACGAUGGGGAUGCGUUCCAUUAGAUAGUAGGCGGGGUAACGGCCCACCUAGUCAACGAUGGAUAGGGGUUCUGAGAGGAAGGUCCCCCACAUUGGAACUGAGACACGGUCCAAACUCCUACGGGAGGCAGCAGUGAGGAAUAUUGGUCAAUGGGCGAUGGCCUGAACCAGCCAAGUAGCGUGAAGGAUGACUGCCCUAUGGGUUGUAAACUUCUUUUAUAAAGGAAUAAAGUCGGGUAUGCAUACCCGUUUGCAUGUACUUUAUGAAUAAGGAUCGGCUAACUCCGUGCCAGCAGCCGCGGUAAUACGGAGGAUCCGAGCGUUAUCCGGAUUUAUUGGGUUUAAAGGGAGCGUAGAUGGAUGUUUAAGUCAGUUGUGAAAGUUUGCGGCUCAACCGUAAAAUUGCAGUUGAUACUGGAUGUCUUGAGUGCAGUUGAGGCAGGCGGAAUUCGUGGUGUAGCGGUGAAAUGCUUAGAUAUCACGAAGAACUCCGAUUGCGAAGGCAGCCUGCUAAGCUGC